GACAGAGGGUGCAAACGUUGUUCGGAAUUACUGGGCGUAAAGCGCGUGUAGGCUGCUUGGAAAGUCGGGUGUGAAAGCCCUGAGCUCAACUCAGGAAGUGCACUCGAAACUUCCAAGCUCGAGUCCUGGAGAGGGUGGCGGAAUUCUCGGUGUAGAGGUGAAAUUCGUAGAUAUCGAGAGGAACACCGGUGGCGAAGGCGGCUACCUGGACAGUGACUGACGCUGAGACGCGAAAGCGUGGGGAGCAAACAGG
rnacentral:rRNA from 1 species